AUUCGCGUCUGAGCCGAACACAGCGUCUAAACCCUACGCCUUCCUUGGUCGACUCAGCAGACGGCAAAAAAAUAAAAUAAAAAUGGUGCUCACUCGCCGCCACGUCGCGCUCCUCGUCCAUGCCCGGCGAUGCUUCUCCGCCUCUGCUGUGCCCCGUCCCGCCUGCGUCCACGAGGUCCGCCGCCUCGCUCUCCUCCGCCGCUUCUCCGACAUCGAGUCCCUCCUCGAACCACUCAAGGACAGCAAGGACGCUUCCUCGGAGCCCUUUCUCGCUUCCGUCGCCGCCGCCUACGCAUCUGCCGGAAUGGUCGAACACGCCUUCCGCACCCUCGAGGAUCUCCCUCGCCUGGGCUCUCCCCGCACCGCCCUCUCCCUUAACGCCCUCCUUUCUGCCCUCAACCACUCACCCCGCCGUCUUGGACACCACCGCUUAGUGCCCGAGCUGUUCUCCGACGUCCCCCGAAAAUUCUCCAUCGUCCCCGAUGCGGUCUCGUACGGCAUCCUCGUCAAGUACUACUGCCUUGCCGGAGAGUCCAAGAAGGCCUUCCCGAUCAUCAAGGAGAUGGAGGAAAAGAAGAUCGAGGUCACUUCCGUGAUCUAUACCACCAUCCUUGAUUCUCUAUACAAGGACAGCAAACCGCAGGAGGCCGAGACGCUUUGGAAGGAAAUGGGCAUCAAAGGGGUAAAGCCCGAUCUCCCCGCUUACAAUGUGCGGGUUAUGCACAAAGCUCUUGUUGGGAAGCCAGAUGAGGUCCUUGAUCUUAUUGCUGAGAUGGAGGCCGCAGGAUUGGAGCCAGAUAUCAUCUCCUAUAACUAUUUGAUCGCUUGUUAUUGUAAACAUCGCAAGACUAAGGAUGCAAAGAAGGUCUACCACGGAUUGGAGGAGAAGGGAUGUGUGCCGAAUUCUGUGACCUUUAUGAAUCUUCUUUCAGCUUUGAGUAAAAAUCGGGAUUUUGUGGGGUGUAUGAAGGUGUUGGCAGAUUGCAUUAAACAUAGCAACAUACCUGAUUUGGGUUCGAUUAAGCUGCUGGUGAAGGAGUUGGUGAAAGCUUCUAGGCCGAGAGAUGCAAGGAGGGUGAUUACUAGAUUGGAAAAGAAAUUCCCAGAAGAUUUUGUUGGAGAUUGGAAGAAACUGGAGAAGUUGGUUAGUCGUAGUAAGGAUGUAAAGAAAUCUGAUCAAAAAAUAGAUGCUCCACAUAUGAAAGAUCGAAAUGGUAAUGAAAUACAAUCAAAAUCAUGGUGAUGUUGGUUUUUGUUAGGUAGUUUAUCAUCAAGUGGAAGGAAAAUGUCUGAACUCCAUUCCCUUAUUAUUUCGUGAUGCAAAUAAGUAUGGGGUUUAUUUUGGGGCUUCAAAGUUCUGAGAUUAGAAUUCUAAAUUAGAACGAAAACUAUAGAGUUUAUGAUUUGAUGGUGCAAGUACUGCUCAUCUAAUAGUCAAUAUGAAGACAUUUUGAUGCUCAACAAUGUGGAAGAGUUGAUGUAAAUUCAAAAUAGCUGCACCUUUACCAACAUGACUCCGAAGAUGCUUCUACUUCAUUCCCUGAGAUUUAAAAUACUGGUGAAGGAUUUCCUUUGGUGGAGUGCAAAUCAAUGUAGUGAAUCAAAAUAUUUAGUCAGCUAAUCUCAUUUGGCUUCAGGGAGAGAAAUGAAAAAAUUAGACUGGGAAUUUACGAUUUGCCAUGUAGCUAGCUGGGCUCGGAAAAUGGCAGUGGAUGUUUUUCAUUGCAUCAGGAGGACUUGGGAGCUUCAUCGUUUUUAAAUCUUGUUCAUCAAAGGAAAAAUUGUUUGAUUGCUCAGUCCAUUCACAAUUCAAUCACAUAUCAAAUGAUUUGUUUCAUUGAAUGACUUAUUCUGUGAUAUAUAUAACCUAGAAGAUGUUGCCAUGGCUUCUGGAAGGAUACUUGGUUCUCUUGUCCUGUGUGAUCAAAGACAUGGUUCGAAUGAGUGCUUGCGUAACUAUUUGUUGUUUUGUUAUGGCAUUCCACUUCUGCAACACCAGAAGCUGAUUGCUAUACUGGGCAUCCCGGAGAUUAUAAAACACAUAUGUUUGCACAUAAUGGAGGUGGUCCCUGUUAGGAGAAUGCAUGGUGAGUUCAUCAUUUAAGAUCAGAAUUGAUUGGGAGUGAAUGUCAGACUCAUCUAGUCUAAUGAUGUGGGUGUGUAUGUGCGUGUUGCGUGUGCAAACUACAUAUCAAAUUCUAAAAAAUUGCCUUGGAGUUCUUGUUUGACCUGAUCCGUGCCUUAUCUGGUUUGGAUACAGAAAUCUGCACAUCACUCCUUCAACAAAUGCUUCUGAGUUGCCUCCGUCUAGGAGAAUAAGUUCUGACUAUGCAGCAGGUUGCCAAUAUAAUCACAUUUCUGUGGAGUUCCCAAGACAUGUUUAACCCCAUAAUCAAAUGGUUUGCAGUCUGCUCAAAACUGGCUUCUUGUUUUUCAUGAUAGUUGGCGAGAAAGCAACAUAAAUAUAUUUAAGAGCAAAGGUUUUUUUUUCUGAGAUUGUGUUCAGAGAAGGGUCUCAAAAUUAUGUAGAGAGAUUCUGAUUUGAGAUUUGAACUUCUGAUACUAUAUAUAUAUCAUACACACUUCUCUUUAAUUGAUAAUUUAGAUCUUGUCUGUGUUGCUUGAAAAAAAUGAGUCCAUACCAUUUUUUACAGUUCUCAAGGGUUUACUACAAGCAGAGAUAUUGAUAGGAAAUUUCGACCCAUCUUGGAUCAGCAACAUAGAGCGGAUUGGAAAAAUAAUAGCAUGUAAAUAUUGUUGAUUGGUUC